rnacentral:rRNA from 1 species
UACGUAGGGUGCAAGCGUUGUCCGGAAUUAUUGGGCGUAAAGAGCUCGUAGGCGGUGUGUCGCGUCGGCCGUGAAAACCUGCAGCUUAACUGUGGGCUUGCGGUCGAUACGGGCAUCACUGGAGUUCGGCAGGGGAGACUGGAAUUCCUGGUGUAGCGGUGAAAUGCGCAGAUAUCAGGAGGAACACCGGUGGCGAAGGCGGGUCUCUGGGCCGAUACUGACGCUGAGGAGCGAAAGCGUGGGGAGCGAACGG